UGUCUACACACUGCAGGAUUAUUCUGCUGGCAUAGCUACAUAGUGCCGUAGCUAUGCUUCUAUAGUCCCCAUAGCGUAGACAUGGUUGGAGACUUUCAGUGGGAAAAAGCUCAGGAAGCAACAGCAGCGGCAGCCAGCUCUUUGCCAUGGGACAGGAGCCCAGCAAUAGAGAAAUUAUUCUGUGAUUUGCCGAGUCUCAAAGUGGGGCAGAUUAGAAUUUGAAAGGUCAUUCAGAAGCUAAAAGGAAAAAAUCACCACAUGACCACUUUACAGCUAUGCUGGGCUAAGGUUCUACACAUUAUAUCAGUUACAGCCGUACUCUGCUGGAAAAGUGGACAUGGCAAGGAAAACACAUUGAGGCCAUCUGCUGGUCAGUAAAUAUUUGUAUUCAACUAACUAUUGUCUGGCUCCUCUUGAGGAAACGAACCACUAUGAUUUGAGGUUAGACCAGGGCCCAGUACCGCCCAUGCAGAGGAGUUAACCUCGUAUGCACAAAGGACUGCAUCCUAAGAGCAACAUUAGAAAAUAGGGGAUUGUUUAAAGCCAUACAACAGUCAAACCAUGGCAGGAACUUAAGCAACUGGGAAGCAGAGAUGGCUUAGCUGGAAUUGAAGUGUUUCCAGAAUCAUCCCUAUGUUUUGUUUCUUAACUGGAAAACGCCUUUGCCCAUCAGCAGAAAAUGUGAGUUUCCAGCCUGGGCCUAAGAUUCUCACAGUAGCAUCAGCAGCCAGAGGGCUUCUUCAUUCCCCAUUGGACUUUGAGCCAGAUGUGCUGCUAGUGCUGACAAGAGGCUACAUGAAGAAAAGGCCAUUUUCGCAGAAAUUAUGAAAACUGAUGGCAGCAUCAUUCUGAAAUUCAAUCAGACAAUGAACAUGUACAUUGAUUCAUUCAUUUGCCAAAUAAAGAUUAUUUCUCG